GACGAACGCUGGCGGCGUGCUUAACACAUGCAAGUCGAACGAUGAAGAAGAGAAACGCGAACUUCGGUUCAAAUUUCACUUCGGAUUAGUGGCAGACGGGUGAGUAACGCGUGAGCAACCUACCUCUUACAAAGGGAUAGCCUCGGGAAACCGUGAUUAAUACCAUAUGACACAUUCAUAAGGCAUCUUAAGAAUGUUAAAGCUACGGCGGUAAGAGAUGGGCUCGUGUCCCAUUAGCUAGUUGGUGAGGUAACGGCCCACCAAGGCGACGAUGGGUAACCGGCCUGAGAGGGUGAACGGUCACAUUGGAACUGAGACACGGUCCAAACUCCUACGGGAGACAGCAGUGGGGAAUAUUGCACAAUGGAGGGAACUCUGAUGCAGCGACGCCGCGUGAGCGAUGAAGGAAUUCGUUUCGUAAAGCUCUGUUCUAUGGGAAGAAAAGGACUGUACCAUAGGAGAAAGCCCCGGCUAAAUACGUG
rnacentral:rRNA from 1 species